rnacentral:rRNA from 1 species
GACGAACGCUGGCGGCGUGCUUAACACAUGCAAGUCGAACGGACAGGCCCUGCUUUUGUGUGGUUCUCGAUUGGCGAACGGGUGAGUAACACGUGUGUAACCUGCCCUUGACUUUGGGAUAACUUCAGGAAACUGGGGCGAUUACCGGAUAUGAUCUCCUGCUCCAUAGUGUUGAUUGGAAAGUUUCGGCGGUUGUGGAUGGACUCGAUGCUUAUCAGCUUGUUGGUGAGGUAGUGGCUUACCAGGGCUUUGACGGGUAGCCGGCCUGAGAGGGUGACCGGCCACAUUGGGACUGAGAUACGGACCAGAAUCGUACGGGAGGCAGCGGGGGGGAAUAUUGCAGAAUGGGCGGAAGUCUGAUGCAGAAGUGCUGCGUGCGGGAUGCCGGGCUACGGGUUAUAAACCGCUGUCGAAGGUGCCGAACAGUGAGUGACGGUAAUGGGUAAAGAAGCAACGGCUAACUACGUG